rnacentral:lncRNA from 1 species
AAAAAUAAAUUAUUAGUAAAUAUUUAAAAACGGACGUACUUAAUGACAAAUUAACUAAUUAAUUUUUUUAAAUACCUGUUUACGAGGGUUGUUGAAUUCUGAUGUCAGAAGCCAACGCCACUCGUACUCCCUGUACUGGAACUCAGCAGGGGUACCAGAACGUGCGUUCCCGUGCGUAGUCCAGUGGGUCCGCAACUCGUUCUUCCACUCCUUGUACCUACAGAUACAACAAAAAUAUUAGAAAUAUUAUUAAUAUCACAUACAAUUUUGUUUUUCAUUAACUUCCCAACGUACCUUCCGUCAUGCACAACGUCGGCCCAGCUGUCUUUCAGGUGUUCGGGAACGUCAAACCACACCUGCAUUUAACCGUUUAUUGGUUUAGUUUUUCGAGAAAUCAACAAUGUAAUACAUAAUAUUAUUUUGUAAACUCACCGACAUCGUGUUGUGGACCAUGUCCUUAACCUCCUGCAGGACCUCGCCCCAGUCUGACCACAACAUAGGGACUCUAUCCCUAAUGAGUGCUCCCACGCGGCCGGAGUACGUCCUCGACUUCCCGCCCGAUACUAUGUGGCCAUCAUUAUGUUCAUGCUUAAAUUUAAACUACUUAAUAUAAUGUGAAAUAUAUAUAUAUAUAUGUUUAAAAUUAUACUUAUUCAAAAAUAUGAAUUCAAUAAAAUAUAUAUAUAUAUAUAUAUAUUCAUCCGGAUUUGAUAUAAGUUUUUCUAUUUUGUAAUUUGUAUCUUAUGUUUAAAAAUUCGUACCCUGCCCACGAUAAAACCAGUACCUAAUCAUGGAAUGCAAGCAUCAAGUUCAUUAUCAACAAAACAUAUGUUUAAAAAAUAUCGAUAAUUUAUCUCCUAAACAUAAAUUAGGGAAAUUAGAUAGUACAUAAAACAUAAAACAUAGCCUAAAAAUCAAUUCGAAAUCAAAAGUAAAAAGAAGAAAAACGCUAAUCUUGGAGACCGGGAGAGCGAGGGAGGAGGUGGAGA